rnacentral:rRNA from 1 species
UACGAGGGGGGCAAAUGUUGUUCGGAAUCACUGGGCGUAAAGGGUGCGUAGGCGGCCGUGCAAGUCUGGCGUGAAAGCCCCGGGCUCAGCCCGGGAAGUGCGCUCGAAACUGCGCGGCUCGAGUGCCGGAGGGGAGAGUGGAAUUCCUGGUGUAGCGGUGAAAUGCGUAGAUAUCAGGAGGAAUACCGGUGGCGAAAGCGACUCUCUGGACGGCAACUGACGCUAGGCACGAAAGCGUGGGGGAGCAAACAGG